GGGCGCGUAGCUCAGUGGUAGAGCCGUCGUCUUAUACACGACUGGUCGCAGGUUCGAUCCCUGCCGCGCCCA
rnacentral:tRNA from 1 species